UACAGAGGCCUCGAGCGUUAGGCGGAAUCACUGGGCUUAAAGCGUGUGUAGGCGGACUUCUAAGUACCUUGUGAAAUCCCACGGCUCACCCGUGGAACUGCUCGGUAUACUGGUCGUCUUGAGCCUUCUAGGGGCGAGUGGAACAAAUGGUGGAGCGGUGAAAUGCGUAGAUAUCCUUUGGAACGCCAAUGGUGAAAACAACUCGCUGGGGAAGUGCUGACGCUGAGACACGAAAGCCAGGGGAGCGAACGGG
rnacentral:rRNA from 1 species